UACAGAGGGUGCGAGCGUUAAUCGGAAUUACUGGGCGUAAAGGGCGCGUAGGCGGUUUAUCAAGUGAGAUGUGAAAUCCCCGGGCUUAACCUGGGAACUGCAUCUUAAACUGGUAAGCUGGAGUACUGUAGAGGACAGUGGAAUUUCCGGUGUAGUGGUGAAAUGCGUAGAUAUCGGGAGGAACACCAGUGGCGAAGGCGACUACCUGGCCUGUUCUUGACGCUGAGGCGCGAAAGCUAGGGGAGCAAACGGG
rnacentral:rRNA from 1 species